GGCUGUUUGGUGUAGUGGCUAUCACACUUGUCUCACAUGCAUGCAAGAUGAUCACAAGAGGUCCGCAGUUCGAUCCUGCGAACAGUCA